UCGAGGGGCAGCAUAUGAGUAGCAAUACUUAUGAUGGCGACCGGCGCACGGGUGCGUAACGCGUAUGCAACCUACCUUUUACAGGGGCAUAACACUGAGAAAUCGGUACUAAUUCCCCAUAAUAUCUGAGACGGCAUCGUUUCGGGUUGAAAACUCCGGUGGUAAAAGAUGGGCAUGCGUUGUAUUAGCUGGUUGGUGAGGUAACGGCUCACCAAGGCGACGAUACAUAGGGGGACUGAGAGGUUAACCCCCCACAUUGGUACUGAGACACGGACCAAACUCCUACGGGAGGCAGCAGUGAGGAAUAUUGGUCAAUGGACGCAAGUCUGAACCAGCCAUGCCGCGUGCAGGAAGACGGCUCUAUGAGUUGUAAACUGCUUUUGUACGAGGGUAAAUGCAGGUACGUGUAUCUGUUUGAAAGUAUCGUACGAAUAAGGAUCGGCUAACUCCGUGCCAGCAGCCGCGGUAAUACGGAGGAUCCAAGCGUUAUCCGGAUUUAUUGGGUUUAAAGGGUGCGUAGGCGGUUUUAUAAGUUAGAGGUGAAAUCUCGGGGCUCAACUCCGAAAUUGCCUCUAAUACUGUAGGACUAGAGAGUAGUUGCGGUAGGCGGAAUGUAUGGUGUAGCGGUGAAAUGCUUAGAGAUCAUACAGAACACCGAUUGCGAAGGCAGCUUACCAAACUAUAUCUG
rnacentral:rRNA from 1 species